AGGCCUAACACAUGCAAGUCGAACGAAGGUACCAGAGCUUGCUUUGGUGCCUUAGUGGCGGACGGGUGAGUAACACGUGGGAAUCUACCCAGCAGUGUGGGAUAACUACUGGAAACGGCGGCUAAUACCGCAUACGCCCUUCGGGGGAAAGUUUUUUCGCUGUUGGAUGAGCCCCGCGUCCGAUUAGCUAGUUGGUAGGGUAAAAGCCUACCAAGGCUACGGUCGGUAGCUGGUCUGAGAGGAUGAUCAGCCACACUGGGACUGAGACACGGCCCAGACUCC
rnacentral:rRNA from 1 species